GGUGCUGUGGUGGAGAUGGAGUUGAAAUCAAAUCCAAUUUUAUUCAUCACAUGCUUCGUAAACAACAGGUGUAAACUAACAGUGAAAUGCUAACUUACGGGCCAUUCCCAACAAUGCAGAGAAAGAAAAUAGAGAAAUAUUGGAAAAGUAGUAACUUUAUUAUAAAGGUGAUUUUUUUUUUUCAGUCAGCACGCCCUACUCAAAACAUCUUCCCGCAGCUAUGCCAUUCUCUCCUUGACUCCUCCGUCCUCCUCUCCUCCGUAACUCGUAAACCACUAAGUAGUCGAGGGGUCUAGGAUAGUGUCAAUGAUUGUAGGUGAACAAAUGAGUGUCCUCCUCCCAUUAAUGACCUACUUCAGCAGAGGAUGCACAAGAGCAUCCUCCCAGUGGCUAGCGUGGACAGUGGCAUCAUGCCCAUAUGGGGCACAAGGGUAUGUGCCCCCUCAGAUUUGUCAAUUUGUUAUUAUUUUUCAGAUGUUAAAUUAAUCACUAAACUUCAUUUCUAUUGUAAUUAUUUAUAGAAAACAUCUGUCAGUGGUAUUUUGUGGAGUGGGCACACUGACUGGACCAGGCAAGGACUCGCAGGAGGUAUGUUGUAAAUUCAUUUGAUUAAGUUAUGUAGCCUAUUGAUUCCUUCUUAAUCAAAAAAUAAAACCAAAAUGUUUUGUUGUUUCUCUGCAAUCUUAUCCACCUAAUCAAUUUCAUGAAUUUGACUUUAUCUAGCCAGCUAGAUAGGUUCGCUAUCUCCCAACCUCAUAACCAGCAAAAUUGUGCACUCUCUUUGUAGACUUUGCAGUGUCUAUUAAUUGUCCAAACGCACAGUCAAUUUCCCACUCUGUAUUGCAAUAAAAUGUUCACAAAUGCUCACAAACUGUUAGGGCAACCAUAGUCCCAACAGCAUUCCCAACCCCUUACCAUUGCUACACCUGGCUAUCAGCAGAGCCUUGUCUGGCAGCAAAAUAGUUCAUUUAGCCUCAUUUACUGCCUUUAAACAAACAUAGCUGAUAUCAAAUCAAAUCAAAUGUAUUUAUAUAGCCCUUCGUACAUCAGCUGAUAUCUCAAAGUGCUGUACAGAAACCCAGCCUAAAACCCCAAACAGCAAGCAAUGCAGGUGUAGAAGCACGGUGGCUAGGAAAAACUCCCUAGAAAGGCCAAAACAUAGGAAGAAACCUAGAGAGGAACCAGACUAUGUGGGGUGGCCAGUCCUCUUCUGGCUGUGCCGGGUGGAGAUUGUAACAGAACAUGGCCAAGAUGUUCAAAUGUUCAUAAAUGACCAGCAUGAUCGUAUAAUAAUAAGGCAGAACAGUUGAAACUGGAGCAGCAGCACGGUCAGAUGGACUGGGGACAGCAAGGAGUCAUCAUGUCAGGUAGUCCUGGGGCAUGGUCUUAGGGCUCAGGUCCUCCGAGAGAGAGAAAGAAAGAGAGAAGGAGAGAAUUAGAGAAUUCACACAGGACACCAAAUAGGACAGGAGAAGUACUCCAGAUAUAACAAACUGACCCUAGCCCCCUGACACAUAAACUACUGCAGCAUAAAUACUGGAGGCUGAGACAGGAGGGGUCAGGAGAAACUGUGGCCCCAUUCGAGGACACCCCCGGACAGGGCCAAACAGGAAGGAUAUAACCCUACCAACUUUGCCAAAGCACAGCCCCCACACCACUAGAGGGAUAUCCGCGAAUAUCAUAUAGUCCACGAAGAUCUCCCCCACGGCACGAACCCAAGGAAGAUCACAGGAAGAUCACUUUAGUGACUCAACCCACUCAAGUGGCGCACCCCUCCUAGGGAUGGUAUGGUCUGCAGCUCAUCAUGAGGUAUUCUAACUCAGGCGAGCAAAACCUUGAGACUUCCUUAAAUUAGAGAUCACGCACUAGCUGUUGUUAAGCGACACACACCUCCCCCAUAACUUAACCUUACACAAAGCUGCCGUUCGGUUUUUACGAUGCAUAUAAAACCAACUAGAAAUAUAUUAUCCAUGUCCUUGCUCAGCCACGACUCUGAAAAACACAAGACAUUACAUUUCUUCAGGUCCCAUUAAUAGUCUCGAACGGAGCUUGACCUGUUUGUUCUCAGUGAUUGUACGUUCGCCAACAGAAUGGAGGGUAGAGGCGGUUUAUUUUCUCACCUGCGUAUUCUCGUCAGGGAGCCCGCUCUUGCACCGUCACUUCCCCUUUUGAGUCCCGGGGAUUAGGGUCCGAAAUGUGCAGUACGUCCACAGCUGCCGACUCGCUGAAAUAGAAAUCUUCAUCCAAAUCGAGGUUAGGGAUCGUUGUUCUGAUGUCCAAAGUUGCUUUCGGUCAUAGGAACUGGAAUAAAUAUUAUGUACAAAAAAAAGUUACGGUCAGCGUAAAACACAAAAUGGCAGAAUUGGUCAGGAGCCUGCCUGUAAGACGGCAGCUAUCAUUUGCAGCGCUGUCUUCAUAAUAUCAUUUGUUUCCACGCUCCCUCUCCUCGCUGCCUCUCCUUGAUUACCUUUUUCAAAAUGAGGUGAGGAGAGGACAGAGGAGGAGGCAGGAGGCAAAGAAAACCAACUGAGAUUCUCCCAUUGAAUCCAUGAGGUUGCAUGUUUAUGCCAAUUAAAUGUUUAUAGUUUCAAAUGAAUAAAUGGUAUCAAAAAGCUGUAUACAUGUAAAGUUGCGUCACUAUGCACAUUUCAACAUUGAUUGAUUUGAUAGUUUAAGCGGUUCAAGAAGUAACAUCUAGAAUUUUGAACGUUUGACCAUUAAAGUAGAUGGUCAUUGACAUGCAUUGAGUUUCAUACAAAUAUGGUAUUACAAAAAGUAUAAAUAGUAUCAAGCAGUCUAAGUUGGGGCCAUCUGCGCAUUUUAAAGUUGAUUGUGUUUAUAGUUUAAAGCGUUUUAUUGCUAGAGGCAAACUAGAAUAUUAAUAAAAGUAAGUAAGAGUAGCCUGCUAGACUAGUCUUGCUUUCAGCAAGCACACAAAAUGUCAACCAAGAUGACAGUUUACAGUGCCUUCAGAAAGUAUUCACACCCCUUAACUCUUUCCACAUUUUGUUGCGUUACAGCUUGAAUUUAAAAUGGAUUAAAUGUAGAUUUGUGUCACUGAUAUAGGCAAAAUAGAAUACCCCAUAAUGUCAAAGUGGAAUUAUGUAUUUAGAAAUAUUUCCUAAUUAAUAAAAAAUUUAAAGCUAAAAUGUUUUGAGUCAAUCACUAUUCAACCAUUUUGUAAUGGCAAACCUAAAUAAAUUCA
ensembl:lncRNA